GAUGAACGCUGGCGGCGUGCCUAAUACAUGCAAGUCGAGCGAACGGACGAGAAGCUUGCUUUUCUGAUGUUAGCGGCGGACGGGUGAGUAACACGUGGAUAACCUACCUAUAAGACUGGGAUAACUUCGGGAAACCGGAGCUAAUACCGGAUAAUAUUUUGAACCGCAUGGUUCAAAAGUGAAAGACGGUCUUGCUGUCACUUAUAGAUGGAUCCGCGCUGCAUUAGUUAGUUGGUAAGGUAACGGCUUACCAAGGCAACGAUGCAUAGCCGACCUGAGAGGGUGAUCGGCCACACUGGAACUGAGACACGGUCCAGACUCCUACGGGAGGCAGCAGUAGGGAAUCUUCCGCAAAGGGCGAAAGCCUGACGGAGCAACGCCGCGUGAGUGAUGAAGGUCUUCGGAUCGUAAAACUCUGUUAUUAGGGAAGAACAUAUGUGUAAGUAACUGUGCACAUCUUGACGGUACCUAAUCAGAAAGCCACGGCUAACUACGUG
rnacentral:rRNA from 1 species